GGUACGACCAUGUGAAAGGUUAGGCUCCUGGAGGGAGAAAGAAACAAAGCCAAUUCUCUACCUUUUCUGAAGGCAGAAAACAUGAGGGACCCUGCUAGGGAGAUUCGCUGCCAUGAACAUUCGCUGCCAUGAAAGAAAACCCCAUGGCCAACUACUCCGCUGUACCUAAUGCCGUCUUUAAUCGGCAGGCAUCUGAAUUCCUAAGGAAAGAGGAGAGGUCGGGAACUGGCAGAAUAAUUUCAGUCCACAGGAAAACACUGAAUUUGAUGAGCAAUACAGCAAAAUUAUGGCAAGAAAUACCAUUCCAUUCCACUUUUUGAUCUAAGCAACACUUCAAACCUGCAUCCAUCACUCCAGAACUGGAUCGAUUGUUCAUCAACAAGUUUGCCUCACAAACUGCAUAGCCUGCUACCUG